rnacentral:lncRNA from 1 species
GAAAAAAUGGCAUGGCGCCUGUCAGAAAACAAAGUAUCCUCCGUGGAAGGAAUAUGCAGAUGCUGGCCUCAGGAGGUUUGUUUCCACCAUGGGAGGGAGGGAGCAGAGAAUGGCUGGGUGGAUUUCCUUGUCUGUUGUUUUACCAUAUUCCUUCCCUUUCUCCUUCCACAAAAGAACAAGGUAUUUGUUUUGGUACCAGGGAUUGAACUCAGGUCUUUGUACUUGCAAGACAGGCAGCAGAACCACGGAGCUAAAUCCCCAGCCCUCAGAGGACAAGUUUUAACAAUAAUCACCGGGAUCCAAAGCUACAGAGGACACUCAGAGCCAUCAGUUAAGGUACUUGCUGAGCUUAUCAGACUUCCUGUUUUCUAGCUCUGU